rnacentral:rRNA from 1 species
AAACUAACAAGGAUUCCCCUAGUAACGGCGAGUGAAGAGGGAAGAGCCCAAGAUUGAAAGCUGGCGUCUUCGGCGUCCGCAUUGUAAUCUCAAGAAGUGUUUUCCGCUUCGGACCAAGCCUAAGUCCCCUGGAAAGGGGCAUCAUAGAGGGUGAUAAUCCCGUACAUGGCUUGGAGCGCCCGAGGCUUUGUGAUACGCUUUCUAAGAGUCGAGUUGUUUGGGAAUGCAGCUCAAAAUGGGUGGUAAAUGCCAUCUAAGGCUAAAUAUUGGGGAGAGACCGAUAGCGAACAAGUACAGUGAUGGAAAGAUGAAAAGAACUUUGAAAAGAGAGUUAAACAGUACGUGAAAUUGCCAAAAGGGAAGGGUAGGAGGUCAGAGAUGCGGCCUGGGAUUCAGCCUUGCUUUUGCUUGGUGUUUUUCCCAGAUUGCAGGCCAACGUCGGUUUUGGGCACUGGAGAAGGGUAGGAGGAACGUGGCACCCCUCGGGGUGUGUUAUAGCCUCCUACUGGAUACAGCGACCGAGACCGAGGACAGCAGCGUACUCG